rnacentral:lncRNA from 1 species
CCUCUCCAAAGCAGCCUCGCUAUUCAAUUUCGUCCUUCAACAUGUGUGUACCUGGAACCCAAUGGAUCGGUGGUGAUUCCAAGCUAUGCCGCUCCCCAGCUACUUACAAUAGGGACUUUUGCAUCUCUAGCUCAUCUCAUGGCAAAUAUUCCACCAUUUGCAAGUUAGGCACGCAGUCUGUGCAUGUACCAAGCGUGUGGCUUUCUGCAUAUGUCUGCACAUCAUUUUUCAGGAAACUCUAUUUCACACUACACCAGCUUGAUGAGUAGCUGUUGUUCACACCCACUGAGAAAUAACUCCAUGUGAGAAUAAUACCUUUACAACUUUGAAAUGUCCUCAGACAGACUUCUCAUCUCCAGGCCAUCAACCUGCUGUGAACUCUCAUCUUGACUUUUCACACUUACAGGCAACAGUCGUGCAACAUACUGUCAAACAAUAUGAAGGUUUGGGAAACGUGAAGGAGUGCAAAAUUAAAUUGGAGCCUGAACAUCUUUCUAGUUCAGGGUAAUAUUUAAUAAUUUAAAAAAAUCCACCACACAUGCAAGUAUAUUUGUACUUGGUGUCUAUUUAAACUUCUGCUCCGUGUCUCGGAAGCAUGUUUAGCCUUCUGAUUCUCCUUCACACUCUUUUUGUUGAAGAUUGGUGUAUGAACUCAGCAUCUGAGGUCCCUGUCCUCAAGACACUUUCUACUUACAUCUUCCUUAAGCCUCAAGCCUGUUUCUGAGUGUUGGAUCAGAAUGAUGUGAAUACAGGGAGCGGUAUACAGCUGCCAAGAGGGACGGCAUCUGGCUCAUAGAGGUGUAUGUGUCUUCCAGGUCUUUACUGAAGUGCUGCCUUAUCAUUUAUCUGAAACAGUGGAUACAGAGAUAUGGAUUCGAGCACACGUACUAUUCUUUGAACGAUUACAUUGCAGAGCUACUUGGAGAUUCAAACAGCUGUCUAAAGUGUGGAUUAAGUGCUAAACAAUAACAGAUCAUCUG